CGGGUGGUAAUGCCGGAUGCUCCAUCACACUGCAUGGUGUGUUGGGAAAGCCUUUGCGGCAUGGGAUGGGGUCGCGUCCUAUCAGCUUGAUGGCGGGGUAACGGCCCACCAUGGCUUCGACGGGUAGCCGGCCUGAGAGGGCGACCGGCCACAUUGGGACUGAGAUACGGCCCAGACUCCUACGGGAGGCAGCAGUGGGGAAUAUUGCACAAUGGGCGCAAGCCUGAUGCAGCGACGCCGCGUGAGGGAUGGAGGCCUUCGGGUUGUAAACCUCUUUUGUUAGGGAGCAAGGCAUUYUGUGUUGAGUGUACCUUUCGAAUAAGCACCGGCUAACUACGUGCCAGCAGCCGCGGUAAUACGUAGGGUGCAAGCGUUAUCCGGAAUUAUUGGGCGUAAAGGGCUCGUAGGCGGUUCGUCGCGUCCGGUGUGAAAGUCCAUCGCUUAACGGUGGAUCCGCGCCGGGUACGGGCGGGCUUGAGUGCGGUAGGGGAGACUGGAAUUCCCGGUGUAACGGUGGAAUGUGUAGAUAUC
rnacentral:rRNA from 1 species